rnacentral:tmRNA from 1 species
GGGGGCGAAACGGUUUCGACGGGGAUAUUUGAACUUAAGGUUGCAUGCCGAGGUUCUCGCCGGCUCGUUAAACAGGCGGGGAUAAACACAAAAGCAGACUCUUACGAGUACGCUCUGGCCGCGUAGGCCAGCGUCCACAAGCUCCUCUCCCGCGGGGGUUUGCUGGGCGACGAUCAGUGGGAUAGCCUAAAGGGGGCGCGGAAAGCCCCGGCAGGCGAAACAACACUUUCCGCUGGCCUGUUCGGCGCCCUUUCCGUGGGGGGCCGACGGGCGAGACAAUAAUCACGGAAUAAGCAUGUAGAUGUCUUAGGGGAAGAUCUUCGGACGCGGGUUCAACUCCCGCCGCCUCCACCA